rnacentral:rRNA from 1 species
GACAGAGGGGGCAAGCGUUGCUCGGAAUUACUGGGCGUAAAGAGCGCGCAGGCGGUCGAUCAAGUCGCGUGUGAAAGCCCCCGGCUCAACUGGGGAGGGUCACGCGAUACUGAUCGACUCGAAGGCAGGAGAGGGUAGUGGAAUUCCCGGUGUAGUGGUGAAAUGCGUAGAUAUCGGGAGGAACACCAGUGGCGAAGGCGACUACCUGGCCUGUUUCUUGACGCUGAGGCGCGAAAGCUAGGGGAGCAAACGGG